AGCUUGAUGGCGUGGGGCUGGAGAACCGCAGUCCCGGCUGCAGCAACUGGGAGAAGGCAGACCGUGUGAGGGGGCCUGUGGCCCCAGCGUGCUGUGGCCUCGGGGAGUGGGAAGUGGAGGCAGGAGCCUUCCUUACACUUCGCCAUGAGUUUCCUGAUCGACUCCAGCAUCAUGAUUACCUCCCAGAUACUAUUUUUUGGAUUUGGGUGGCUUUUCUUCAUGCGCCAAUUGUUUAAAGACUAUGAGAUACGUCAGUAUGUUGUACAGGUGAUCUUCUCCGUGACGUUUGCAUUUUCUUGCACCAUGUUUGAGCUCAUCAUCUUUGAAAUCUUAGGAGUAUUGAAUAGCAGCUCCCGUUAUUUUCACUGGAAAAUGAACCUGUGUGUAAUUCUGCUGAUCCUGGUUUUCAUGGUGCCUUUUUACAUUGGCUAUUUUAUUGUGAGCAAUAUCCGACUACUGCAUAAACAACGACUGCUUUUUUCCUGUCUCUUAUGGCUGACCUUUAUGUAUUUCUUCUGGAAACUAGGAGAUCCCUUUCCCAUUCUCAGCCCAAAACAUGGGAUCUUAUCCAUAGAACAGCUCAUCAGCCGGGUUGGCGUGAUUGGAGUGACUCUCAUGGCUCUUCUUUCUGGGUUUGGUGCUGUCAACUGCCCAUACACUUACAUGUCUUACUUCCUCAGGAAUGUGACUGACACAGAUAUUCUAGCCCUGGAACGGCGACUGCUGCAAACCAUGGAUAUGAUCAUAAGCAAAAAGAAAAGGAUGGCAAUGGCACGGAGAACAAUGUUCCAGAAGGGGGAAGUGCAUAACAAACCAUCAGGUUUCUGGGGAAUGAUAAAAAGUGUUACCACUUCAGCAUCAGGAAGUGAAAAUAACACCAUGGCAUAAGACAAUCCCAUGAAGAUAAGAUAUAAAAGAAGAUAAUGUUUGAAAAGAAAUAAGGUAAUGUCUGUAAAUCCUAGCCUAUAUUAGAACACAGUAAAGUAUUAGUUCCCUUUUCUAACAUUAUAUUCAGAUAAUGUAGGAGAAAGCUAUGCUUUAUUAUAGUUAUUAUUGUGUAACUAACUAUUUACAAUCUUGAACAUUACAUUUGACUUAAUCUAACUAGAUAAAUCAAAAAACAAAUGAAACCAUCUGUUUGAGCUGCUUGACUUAAGAGAAACUGAGUGGUAAUUGUUUGGUGGCAAUGCUCUUGAUGGAGAAGCUUUUACACACCUGCGUCAGAGGUUGGGAAAGUUGCUCUGAAGUAGCGCUGCUGGCUAUGAAACAGGAAAUUGAGAAUACAGGCAACUCCGGGAAUCCACUGUAGGAAAAACCAAAAGUAUAUGCUUUCUCAUUGCCAUUUCUUGAAAUUCCUAUGUGAUUAAAACCUUGAUGCCCAUUCUGUGCCAGAUCUUACUCUUAUUCAACAGGAAGUGGAUGCUUUGGAAGAAUUAAGCAGGCAGCUUUUUCUGGAAACAGCUGAUCUAUAUGCUACCAAGGAGAGAAUAGAAUACUCCAAAACCUUCAAGGGGAAAUAUUUUAAUUUUCUUGGUUACUUUUUCUCUAUUUACUGUGUUUGGAAAAUUUUCAUGGCUACCAUCAAUAUUGUUUUUGAUCGAGUUGGGAAAACGGAUCCUGUCACAAGAGGCAUUGAGAUCACUGUGAAUUAUCUGGGAAUCCAAUUUGAUGUGAAGUUUUGGUCCCAACACAUUUCCUUCAUUCUUGUUGGAAUAAUCAUCGUCACAUCCAUCAGAGGAUUGCUGAUCACUCUUACCAAGUUCUUUUAUGCCAUCUCUAGCAGUAAGUCCUCCAAUGUCAUUGUCCUGCUAUUAGCACAGAUAAUGGGCAUGUACUUUGUCUCCUCUGUGCUGCUGAUCCGAAUGAGUAUGCCUUUAGAAUACCGCACCAUAAUCACUGAAGUCCUUGGAGAACUGCAGUUCAACUUCUAUCACCGUUGGUUUGAUGUGAUCUUCCUGGUCAGCGCUCUCUCUAGCAUACUCUUCCUCUAUUUGGCUCACAAACAGGCACCAGAGAAGCAAAUGGCACCUUGAACUUAAGCCUACUACAGACUGUUAGAGGCCAGUGGUUUCAAAAUUUAGAUAUAAGAGGGGGGAAAAAUGGAACCAGGGCCUGACAUUUUAUAAACAAAAUGCUAUGGUAGCAUUUUUCACCUUCAUAGCAUACUCCUUCGCCCUCAGGUGAUACUAUGACCAUGAGUAGCAUCAGCCAGAACAUGAGAGGGAGAACUAACUCAAGACAAUACUCAGCAGAGAGCAUCCCGUGUGGAUAUGAGGCUGGUGUAGAGGCGGAGAGGAGCCAAGAAACUAAAGGUGAAAAAUAUACUGGAACUCUGGGGCAAGAGAUGUCUAUGGUAGCUGAGCCAAACACGUAGGAUUUCCCUUUUAAGGUUCAUAUGGAAAAGGUUAUAGCUUUCCCUUGAGAUUGACUCAUUAAAAUCAGAGACUGUAACACUUUUGCCUUACGUUCAUUUUAUCAAGCAUAGCUUGGUAUUUAUUAUGCUUGUGUGAUCUAACAUGAGUUAGCAUCCCACACCUCCUCAUCUGAUCCUGCCCCAUUAAAAUAACCAAGAGGUUAUCUGUUCUUUUCCGGGAAAGGGGUGGUAUGCACCUGAAAUAGAUUUUACCAAAAGA
rnacentral:sRNA from 1 species